CAACAUGAUGAACUUUCUAUGUCGCCCCAGUCUUACCUAUACAUGGUGAUCGACAACGUCUUUC
rnacentral:snoRNA from 1 species